rnacentral:lncRNA from 1 species
AGAGGAACUCCCCAAACUUUAUCUUACCGACUUUGUGUCUGGGGUGCUUUCCAGGGGUCCUCGCUUCUCUGGGAGGGGGCACUGGUUUCUGAGCCUGUUUGGAGCCACUUUUCUUCAGCAAUUUUGCUGCUCCCGGCAAUUUCUUCAAACUGGAUACCUUAUUUAGUGGUCCUCUGGACAAUCUCUUCCAUGCAUUGCCUCUUAGGCCUGUAUCCUCAAGUGGGCGGGAUGUCCUCAGGCGGGAUGUUUCCUUCCAGUGCCCUCAACUAGAAUCACAGCUCCACCAGAUGGCAGUCGUGCUCCCGGACUUUCUCCUAGGCCCACCUGUGCCCUACCUUGUCAAAUCCAGUUUUGAAAAGAUCUCCUAUGGGGUGAGUACCACAUUAUUCAGGGGGAAACGGUGUAAUUAACUAAAUUCUGAUGAGACACAAGAUAAACAACGUAUGGUCAAAGAUUUAAAUGCAACACAUGGAAUAGGUAUGUUAGAAAAACUUGGAGGAUUUUUAACCUCAAAGUAGAAGUGGCACUGAUGAGUAAUCUGUGUAUUUAAUGUAGGUAUCAAAAGCGUUCAGAAAUGAGAUAUAAAUAAAACCUCAAAGUCUUGCA